GAUGAACGCUGGCGGCGUGCCUAAUACAUGCAAGUCGAGCGAACAGACGAGGAGCUUGCUCCUCUGACGUUAGCGGCGGACGGGUGAGUAACACGUGGAUAACCUACCUAUAAGACUGGGAUAACUUCGGGAAACCGGAGCUAAUACCAGAUAAUAUAUUGAACCGCAUGGUUCAAUAGUGAAAGACGGUUUUGCUGUCACUUAUAGAUGGAUCCGCGCCGCAUUAUCUAGUUGGUAAGGUAACGGCUUACCAAGGCAACGAUGCGUAGCCGACCUGAGAGGGUGAUCGGCCACACUGGAACUGAGUCACGGUCCAGACUCCUACGGGAGGCAGCAGUAGGGAAUCUUCCGCAAUGGGCGAAAGCCUGACGGAGCAACGCCGCGUGAGUGAUGAAGGUCUUCGGAUCGUAAAACUCUGUUAUUAGGGAAGAACAAAUGUGUAAGUAACUAUGCACGUCUUGACGGUACCUAAUCAGAAAGCCACGGCUAACUACGUG
rnacentral:rRNA from 1 species